GAUGAACGCUGGCGGCGUGCCUAAUACAUGCAAGUCGAGCGAACGGACGAGAAGCUUGCUUCUCUGAUGUUAGCGGCGGACGGGUGAGUAACACGUGGAUAACCUACCUAUAAGACUGGGAUAACUUCGGGAAACCGGAGCUAAUACCGGAUAAUAUUUUGAGCCGCAUGGUUCAAAAGUGAAAGACGGUCUUGCUGUCACUUAUAGAUGGAUCCGCGCUGCAUUAGCUAGUUGGUAAGGUAACGGCUUACCAAGGCAACGAUGCAUAGCCGACCUGAGAGCGUGAUCGGCCACACUGGAACUGAGACACGGUCCAGACUCCUACGGGAGGCAGCAGUAGGGAAUCUUCCGCAAUGGGCGAAAGCCUGACGGAGCAACGCCGCGUGAGUGAUGAAGGUCUUCGGAUCGUAAAACUCUGUUAUUAGGGAAGAACAUAUGUGUAAGUAACUGUGCACAUCUUGACGGUACCUAAUCAGAAAGCCACGGCUAACUACGUG
rnacentral:rRNA from 1 species